CACGUAGGCACCAAGCGUUGUCCGGAUUUAUUGGGCGUAAAGAGCUCGUAGGCGGUUCAGUAAGUCGGGUGUGAAAACUUUGGGCUUAACCCAAAGCGUGCAUCUGAUACUGCUGUGACUUGAGUUCGGUAGGGGAGUGGGGAAUUCCUAGUGUAGCGGUGAAAUGCGCAGAUAUUAGGAGGAACACCGGUGGCGAAGGCGCCACUCUGGGCCGAAACUGACGCUGAGGAGCGAAAGCGUGGGGAGCGAACAGG
rnacentral:rRNA from 1 species